AAGCCUCCUAUAUAUGGAGUUCCUCGAUGGUAAGCUGGCAAUCGUCUCACCAACGUGCAGAUGACUUUUCAGACUCCUCCUCUUUCGCCGGGAAACGCCGGUUAUCGUUCUGAAAACAUUUUCCGGCUGCGAUUUGGGGAACUAAAGCCUCUGAUCUCCGACGUCUGUUCUUCGAUUCAACGUCAAAAAGGAAAAAAAGUAUCUGACGGACCUGGAGAGGGAACCAAUCGAUCUGGCUGCAAGAGUUGUGGACUCUGAAUUUUCAGCAUAUUUGAGCAACUUUUUAAUUUUCAGUAUACAUGUAUUUGGUGCUGUUUUCUCUUUUUAAGUUACUAUAUUCGAAAGGUAGAGCUAAUCAUGCAUCAACUGAUUGUCUGAAGCUCUCACAUAGCUUUCAGUAUUAGUGACGCCUUCGCUCCUCCUUUAUCCAUCCGUUUAAUUUACUGACACUUCAAGGAUUCACCGUGCUGGGCCAAGGGAGAAGAUAUACUUCAGACCGAACAGAACAAGUGAAGGUUGUGAUCAUCUCAUGUGGUGGGUUGUGUCCUGGUUUCAGUGAUGUCACAUACAUAGCGUGUGAAGGAGAUUAUGAUGGAAUCAAAAGGUGGUUACAAGAAUUCUAUAGUAGUAGUCCUUAUCAUAUUAAGCCCCUUUGGUUACAUCCUUUAAGAUGUUUGUCCUAAAAAUGGAAUCAAUAAAUUCAAAUCUUUAGUUUGCUACUGAGAGUCUCUUCAAUCCUAACUGUCAAGUGUCUUGAGUCUCUUGACAAUUUAUUUUAUUUUAUUGCAGUGCACUAAAAGGCCAUCCUAAGGUGUAGCUUGCACUGAGACUCCUAAUACAGUUUCGCUUUCUUUAAUUUCCACUUUAUAAUUUACUUUCUUCUAAGAUUUGUUUCUGCUGGUUCCUGAUGAUGUUUAUGGUCUUAUUCGCAAUCGGUUUCGAAGGUUACGAGAAGCGGCUCAAGGUUUCUUUCAACAUCGAUCAGUUGAAGGGAAAUGAUGAUGAGACUGAAAAAGGCAUGUCUAUACCUCUGCCCAGUCCCCUAGCAACAACAAUGUCUACACCUUCGAGAUUUGUAUGACCUUCGAAAAGGCAUGAAAGUGACAAGAGCGGAUCAAUGACUGACAACUCUGGAAUCAGAAAUGCAGUCUCCACUAUCCUUGUGACCUCUGAAGAUGGGUUUAGUUACGCUAGCUUUAAAGCUGUAGGUUUUAACUUCAACACUAUCCACCUGACUCAGCUGGAUACAAGGGUUCUGUCUUGCUUGGAGCCUAAGAAAUGAUCUGUAGCCGUACACUUGUGUUAGAAUGAACGAAUACAAGCUGGAGAUCAGUGUAAACUCGGAAGACUAUAGGUGCAGAAAGUGCGACAUUUGAGUCUUUAGGCGAAGAGAGUGGAACAGUCAUGUAUCAGGCGUUUGAGAAGUUUGGCCAGAUCUGUGAGUCACCUAGAACUACCGUAAGUAUGACUGGAGCAGCACAAUAGCUGCAGUAGGAGGACGAGCAGAACUUUAUCUAAAAUAUUUUUGAGCUUCCUAUUUUUGUAUCUUUUAAAAUAAUAAGGAUGGCUUUUGAAGUUGAUACUCUCCUAUUAUGAUUUAGUGCUUUUUACAUUGCUCGGUC